rnacentral:misc_RNA from 1 species
AGACUGUCCUUCUUCAGGACAAGGUAGCUCUCCCAAUUCCAAGUUGGUCGGAGAAUUUGCCAAGCUGAUGGCUGAGGAGGGCUGGAAGAUUGCCUCUAACAGUAAGCUGCCACCCACACUGUCUGCUACUGGUGGGGGGAUGCAGCCGCAAAACGCUGGGGGAAAGAGAAACUACAGCACUGGCCCUGGGGAAACCACCAGUAAUAUGGCUGUAUCCCCUGAUGGAUUGUCUCCAAGGGCUAAGAACAUCUACGAUCGGGUCAAGGACUUCAUAGAGAAAGAGGUCAAACCCACCGAGAAGCAGGUGAUAGAUUUCUAUAAGGAGGAGCAGAAUCGUUGGAAAGUCUGCCCAAUCAUCACAGAGCUCAAGGCAAAAGCCAAAGCAGCUGGUUUGUGGAACUUGUUUCUUCCCAAAGAAUCGGACCCAGGUAUGAAGUACGGUGCUGGCCUCAGUAAUCUGGAGUAUGCCUUUAUGUGCGAGGAGAUGGGCAAAUCCCCAAUAGCACCAGAGGUGUUUAACUGUCAGGCCCCAGAUACAGGUAACAUGGAGGUGAUAGUCAGGUACGGAACAGAGGAACAGAAGCGACAGUGGUUAACUCCCCUGCUGAAUGGAGAAAUGAAGUCUUGCUUUGGGAUGACCGAGCCACAGGUUGCCUCAUCUGAUGCCACAAACAUUGAAGCCUCCAUAAUCAGGGAGGGGGACCAUUACGUUAUCAAUGGACACAAAUGGUGGACUUCAGGUAAUGUAAGGUCAUGUAUACUUUUUAUCUGCUAUUAUCGGUACAUGUUACAUACUGAUGUACAUUUUCUGCAGCUGUGAUAAAUUUUGUACCAGUGUGUAUAUUGAAAACUUGAUUUAUAUCAAGUGAUUAUGCAGAUUUUUGAAUUGUGUUUAACAGGCAGAUUAAAUAAUACUGGACAGACAAUCAUUAAACUCCCAGAAACAAGAAUGUUCAUAGUUCAGAGCAGGUAUAUAUGUGAAAUAUAUAUAUCGGAUUUCUACAGGUGCUUUACACCCGGACUGCAAAGUCUGUGUGUUCAUGGGGAAGACAGACAAGUCAGCCUCCACCCACAAACAACAGAGUAUGAUCCUGGUCCCCAUGGAUGCCCCGGGGGUCAAGAUUGUCCGACCCCUCACUGUGUUUGGUUAUCUAGACUACCCAGCUGGACAUGCAGAGGUGCUGUUUGAGAAUGUGAAGGUUCCCCUUGGCAACAUGUUGCUUGGAGAGGGGCGUGGCUUUGAGAUUGCUCAAGGUCGCCUGGGUCCUGGCAGGAUUCAUCACUGCAUGAGACUGAUCGGCAAUUCUGAGCGAGCUCUAGAUAUGAUGCUGGAACGAACACAGAACAGGGUUGCAUUUGGUAAGCCUUUAGCAGCACAGGGGACCAUACAACAGGAUGUGGCCAAGUCCAGGAUAGAGAUAGAACAGACUCGUCUAUUGGUGCUUAAAGCUGCUCACAUGAUGGAUAACUAUGGCAACAAGGUCGCAGCUCCAGAAAUAGCCAUGAUCAAAGUAGCAGGUCCAAAUAUGGCACAGCGGGUCAUUGAUCGUGCAAUUCAGGUCCAUGGUGGCGGCGGUGUAUCCUCCGACUUCUGUUUAGCUCAUUUGUACGCUAAGGCAAGGGUGUUACGCUUGGCCGACGGACCCGAUGAAGUUCAUCUUAGGCAAAUUGCCAAGUUUGAGUACAGAAAGGCCAGAUUAUAAUGAAUACAAACUCAAACUGUUGAACAAUGACGUGGCUGUGAUUAUUAUACACUGUGAUCAAUAAGGAUGGUUAUAUCAUGCAAUGAACUCUGAAAUUAACCAUGUACAUGAAUGAAGACAUUUUUUAUACAAAUACAAAUGUAUACCGAUUUUUGCCUUAUAUUAAUUGUUUUAUAAAAAAUAAAAAAUUGUACACU